rnacentral:misc_RNA from 1 species
CUCAGUUGGUUAGAGCGCGCGCUUGAUAAGCGUGAGGUCGGAAGUUCAAGUCUUCCCAGGCCCACCACUUUCAUCGAGUGAGCAUUCGUCUUCUGGUUACGGGGCCAUAGCUCAGCUGGGAGAGCGCGUGCUUUGCAAGCAUGAGGUCGUCGGUUCGAUCCCGUCUGGCUCCACCAGAUGGUUUGAUCACCGAGAUCAUGUACCGUCGUCCGCGAAACAUCACUUCGCAUUCACUAGUCUGGAUAGACAGUGAACUGCGUGUUUUCUGACAUCGUAAAGAGGAGAUCGAUCCGAGUUGGGUCGUGCAGCAUAUCGUUGCGCGGGCCUUCAUUAUCUCCGGAUCAUUUCGGCGCUCGCUUUCAGCCGUGAGGUUGAAUGCGGGUUGUAAAUGAUCCUUUUAGCGAAGCUUGACCGCCUCGCUAUCGGAACGAUCUUACGAAGCAAGCUGGUCUUUCUAGUCAAUGUCCGGCUGUACGUAGCAUUCAUCGAGGGUGCGUGCCGCAAGGCAAUCGUACGGACAACAUUCUGCCGAGUGUGUGGACAUUGAUAAUGAGAGCAAUCAAGUGCCUUAAGGGUGUUCGGUGGAUGCCUUGGCGCUGAGAGGCGAUGAAGGACGUGCUACGCUGCGAUAAGCCGUGGGGAGCUGCGAAGAAGCUUUGAUCCGCGGAUUUCCGAAU